rnacentral:rRNA from 1 species
CAGUCGCCGCGGGAAUACGAAGGGGGCGAGCGUUGCUCGGAAUGACUGGGCGUAAAGGGCGCGUAGGUGGUACGGACAGUCAGAUGUGAAAUUCCCGGGCUCAACCUGGGGGCUGCAUUUGAUACGUCCGAACUAGAGUGUGGAAGAGGGUCGUGGAAUUCCCAGUGUAGAGGUGAAAUUCGUAGAUAUUGGGAAGAACACCGGUGGCGAAGGCGGCGACCUGGUCCAUUACUGACGCUGAGGCGCGAAAGCGUGGGGAGCAAACAGGAUUAGAUACCCGCGUAGUCCCUGUCUCUUAUAC